UAAAUUUAGUUAUUAAAUUUAUGUGCGUCGCAUAUUUAUUUAAUUUAGCAUUCAAGCAUUUUCAUGAGCUAUUUAUUUAAGCAAACACUGAACGAUUAUUACAGUUUUCAUAGUACAACCCGGAAGAUUUUUAUUUUAUUUUAUUUUACUCCACUACACCCACUACCCACUACACCUACUCCUACACAGCAAUACAUUCGUCCACUCCUCUCUGUCUGCCAUAUCUCAAUUAUUCUCGCAAGGAAGAAAUUCAAUGCACAUCUCUAUCUCCAGAAGUUCAACAACAUCAUAUUCACUAACCAUUCGUCUCUACACAGAACACUAUAAGGCUUUGUGACCAGGGGGAUUAGCGCUGCUUUCCCAAGACAGGUUUAUAUGUGAUUAUGAUCUUCAGGCUUUGCCUAUCCAGGUUGGCUGGCUGGUGCUGACGGGACGGAGCUGAGGCUCGAGAUAAAUUCCUAUGUUAGACUUCCGCUGUAGCAAUUACUUAUAUCAGUCUUUUGUUUUCCCAACUUAAGAUCUUCAUGUUAAAUUUCAAAUGAUAUAUCUGACC